rnacentral:lncRNA from 1 species
GCCAAUACACUCUGAGAUGGUUCCUAGAAGUGAUUGUCACUUACCCUUCUGCAGUUGAAAACACAAAAAACAGUUUAGGACUAUUAAAUUUACCUUCUUGGACUACUUAUAGGUUUUCUUGACGACCUCGUCGUUAACUGAGGUGAGAAUUCAUAAGUUUCAAAGAAGUUCAUACUACAGAAAAACAAAGUAUACAUAAGGUCAGGAAGAAUUCAACAGGAAAGCUUAAAAGUUAAAACCAAAAAAAAAGGUUUAGCUCAAACUAAUAUAUUACAACUCUAAAUACUACUCCACUGCAUCCAAUCAAGAAAAAAUAUUCAAAUUUACACACACAGAAUCAAUAUUCUUAUGAGGGGGAGAGAUGAGAGCCACCUUGAUCCAGAGUUGAUGACAUUGGCAUGACCGGGGAAAUAUAGAUUCUACGUCGUAGUUCUUCUUCUCCUCGGCAAAAUUGGAUGUGAAGAGGUAGAUUAUAUAGUGAUUGCACUAACGUGAAGUGAAGCAUAUCUUACCCAAUCUGAGUCUUGCCAAUACCAGGUCUCCACCUGCAGAGAAUAAACAAAGAUUAAAACUAUAA